GCGUGGAGACAGGUGGUGCAUGGCUGUCGUCAGCUCGUGUCGUGAGAUGUUGGGUUAAGUCCCGCAACGAGCGCAACCCUCACCUCUUGUUGCCAACAGGUCAUGCUGGGCACUCUAGAGGAACCGCCCCGGUCAACGGGGAGGAAGGCGGGGAUGACGUCAAGUCAUCAUGCCCCUUACGUCCUGGGCUACACACGUGCUACAAUGGCCGGUACAAAGGGAUGCCACACCGCGAGGUAGAGCUAAACCCAAAAAGCCGGUCUAAGUUCAGAUUGGAGUCUGCAACUCGACUCUACGAAGGAGGAAUCGCUAGUAAUCGCGUAUCAGCACGACGCGGUGAAUACGUUCCCGGGCCUUGUACACACCGCCCGUCACACCACGAAAGCCAGCUGUACUCGAAGUCGCUGAG
rnacentral:rRNA from 1 species